rnacentral:rRNA from 1 species
UACAGAGGGUGCAAGCGUUAAUCGGAUUUACUGGGCGUAAAGAGCGUGUAGGCGGCCAGGUAGGUCUGCUGUGAAAACUCGAGGCUCAACCUCGAGACGUCGGCGGAAACCAUCUGGCUAGAGUCCGGAAGAGGAGAGUGGAAUUCCUGGUGUAGCGGUGAAAUGCGCAGAUAUCAGGAAGAACACCCGUGGCGAAGGCGGCUCUCUGGGACGGUACUGACGCUGAGACGCGAAAGCGUGGGGAGCGAACAGG